rnacentral:rRNA from 1 species
GACGAACGCUGGCGGCGUGCUUAACACAUGCAAGUCGAACGGGAGUAUUGAAGAAGCUUGCUUUAGAGAUACUUUAGUGGCGGACGGGUGAGUAACGCGUGAGGAGCUGUCCUAUGCAGGGGGACAACAGCUGGAAACGGCUGCUAAUACCCCAUAAGCCGAGAGGUAAAAGGAUCAAUCCGGCAGAGGAGGUACUCGCGUCCUAUCAGCUAGUAGGUGAGGUAACGGCUCACCUAGGCGAAGACGGGUAGCCGGCCUGAGAGGGCGAACGGCCACACUGGAACUGAGAUACGGUCCAGACUCCUACGGGAGGCAGCAGUGGGGAAUAUUGGGCAAUGGGGGAAACCCUGACCCAGCGACGCCGCGUGGGUGAAGAAAUCCUUCGGGAUGUAAAGCCCUGUUGUAUGGGAAGAGCGGAAGACGGUACCAUACGAGGAAGCCCCGGCAAACUAACGUGCCAGCAGCCGCGGUAAAACGUAAGCAUG